rnacentral:lncRNA from 1 species
CUUUAUCCAGGCAGUGCAAUACGUUGCUUGCCAGACUAGAAAAUGAUAUAUUAGCCAUCUGGGCAAUGGGCCCAACCCUGGGCAAGAUUAGUGCUUCAAUUAGCUGUUGAUAGCUUUCCAUUAGAAUAUUGGUUUCAAAGAGCACUAAACAAGAAUGUUGUGCUUUGAUUUUCAGAUUUAAUUACUUCCAUCAGGGCUAUAAAUGAACUCAUUAGUCUUAGUGGCUCUAAAACCUAGAGACAAUAGAAUGUUAUUGCCAUUGUUCUUAUGGUUUGUGCAAACAUUACUUUCAGAAUGCUAUUAGGGAUGGCUAUCAACCUUUCCACUCUUCCUAAUGUAGCUGGCUGGCUGACCCUGCACAGCAGCUCUGGGCCGUGCUCCUGCAGUCAGACCUCGAGGCUCCCACCUCCCGCCGCAGGCAUGCCCUGGGGGAGUUGUGCAAGGAGAGCAGAGAGGCCAGCUCUGGAGGAACUUUGCUUUCUCUUCAACCCAGACCUGAUGAUUUCUUGCAGCUGGUUGGUGCUCACAGAGUGUUUCACAUCUAGCACACAGCAAGCAGGGGGGAGAUGCUGUGCUGCAAAUGUGAUCCUACCAAGUGUGGGAGAGGACUGUGAAAACCAAGACAACACAGGUAGCUAAGUACUGGGCUACCUUAAGUUAACCUGUAGCGAUAGGAUAGCCCUCCCUCCCGUCCCUCUGCACAGCCUGACUGCUAAUGUAGGCCUUGGAAGAUGACACAAGUUUAACUGAGUGAAUGAAUUAGCUGAGCACCUGUGUAAAACCCACCAAAAACCUCACUUGAAGCAUAACCAGCCUUAAGUUUGGGCAGUGUUAGCUUAAAAAUUCUGAAAUAAAUGAGAAAGAACCCAAAGUCUAGUGGGUUGU